GCGUAGGCGGUUUUGUAAGUCAGAGGUGAAUGCCCCGGGCUCAACCUGGGAACUGCCUUUGAUACUGCAAGACUUGAGUGUGGUAGAGGGGGGUGGAAUUCCUGGUGUAGCGGUGAAAUGCGUAGAUAUCAGAAGGAACACCGAUGGCGAAGGCAACUUCCUGGACUGAUACUGACGCUGAUGUGCGAAAGCGUGGGGAGCAAACAGGAUUAGAUACCCUGGUAGUCCACGCCGUAAACGAUGUCAACUAGCUGUUGGGAUUCUUGAGAUCUUAGUGGCGCAGCUAACGCAUUAAGUUGACCCCCGGGGGAGUACGGCCGCAAGGUUAAACCUC
rnacentral:rRNA from 1 species